AUCAGGCAGUGGAGCGCUUUGGGGUGGGGUGACUGCGUACCUUUUGUAUAAUGGGUCAGCGACUUAUAUUCUGUAGCAAGGUUAACCGCAUAGGGGAGCCGAAGGGAAACCGAGUCUUAAUUGGGCGUUAAGUUGCAGGGUAUAGACCCGAAACCCGGUGAUCUAGCCAUGGGCAGGUUGAAGGUUGGGUAACACUAACUGGAGGACCGAACCGACUAAUGUUGAAAAAUUAGCGGAUGACCUGUGGCUGGGGGUGAAAGGCCAAUCAAACCGGGAGAUAGCUGGUUCUCCCCGAAAGCUAUUUAGGUAGCGCCUCGUGAAUUCAUCUCCGGGGGUAGAGCACUGUUUCGGCUAGGGGGCCAUCCCGGCUUACCAACCCGAUGCAAACUGCGAAUACCGGAGAAUGUUAUCACGGGAGACACACGGCGGGUGCUAACGUCCGUCGUGAAGAGGGAAACAACCCAGACCGCCAGCUAAGGUCCCAAAGUCAUGGUUAAGUGGGAAACGAUGUGGGAAGGCCCAGACAGCCAGGAUGUUGGCUUAGAAGCAGCCAUCAUUUAAAGAAAGCGUAAUAGCUCACUGGUCGAGUCGGCCUGCGCGGAAGAUGUAACGGGGCUAAACCAUGCACCGAAGCUGCGGCAGCGACACUUUAGUGUUGUUGGGUAGGGGAGCGUUCUGUAAGCCUGCGAAGGUGGCCUGUGAGGGUUGCUGGAGGUAUCAGAAGUGCGAAUGCUGACAUAAGUAACGAUAAAGCGGGUGAAAAGCCCGCUCGCCGGAAGACCAAGGGUUCCUGUCCAACGUUAAUCGGGGCAGGGUGAGUCGACCCCUAAGGCGAGGCCGAAAGGCGUAGUCGAUGGGAAACGGGUUAAUAUUCCCGUACUUGGUGUUACUGCGAAGGGGGGACGGAGAAGGCUAUGUUGGCCGGGCGACGGUUGUCCCGGUUUAAGCGUGUAGGCUGACUUUCCAGGCAAAUCCGGAGAGUCAAGGCUGAGGCGUGAUGACGAGGCAC
rnacentral:rRNA from 1 species